CAAAAGUGUUACUAUCAAAGUUUUGCUCACCCUUGCAGCAUACUAGAACUGGCAUUUAAUCCAACUAGAUGACAAUAAUGUGUUUCUAAGCAGAGAAAUGUUUGAGGAAGUCUACAUGGACCUUCCUCUUGGCUAUAAAUUCCAUAACCACUUAAACUGGGGAAGAAAAUGAUUUGCAAGCUGCACAAGUCCAUAUAUGGACUUUAACAAGCUCGAAGACAAUGGAAUUCUAAAUUCAAUCAUGCCCUCAUUUAAUAAGACUUCACUCAAUCCAAGGCAGACUAUUCUCUCUUCACUAAAAGGUCUGAUGAUAGUUUGUGGCUCUACUGGUAUACGUGGAUGACAUUGUCAUCGCUGGACCUAGUAUCCAAAUGAUCACUUCGUUAAAACUGUUCUUGCACUCUCAAUUCAAACUCAAGGAUCUAAGAUGCUUGAAAUAUUUCUUGGGGGAUUGAGAUUGCAAGUUCCUCAUCUGGAAUUGUUAUUUCACAAUGACAAUAUAUACCGCAACUUCUUGAAGAUAUGGGAUAUCUAGAUUGUAAACCCACAAGCAGUCCUAUGGAACCUAAGACGACACUCGACAUUCAUGAAGGUAAACUACUGCGAGAUGCAUCUCAUUGCAGAAGGCUGAUUGGGAGACUUAUAUACUUAACCUCUCACGCCUUGACAUCACCUUUGCAGUACAUAAACUGAGCCAAUAUAUGUCUCAACCAAGACUUUCGCAUCUUAAAGCCGUUCAUCAUCUCCCACGAUACUUGAAAGGCAGUCCAGGACAAGGUUUUCUUUUCUCAUCACAUAAAUCUUUUGGUUCUGCUCUCUGCCUUCGAGCAUUUUCUAAUGCAAACUGUGGCUCUUGCAUCGACAAACGAAAAUCCACCACUGGUUUUUGUAUUUUCAUUGGUGACUCAUUGGUUUUGUGGAAAUAAAAAAGACAACCCACAAUUUCUUGUUCAUCAGCUGAAGCUACAUAUAGAGCUCUUGCAUCCACAGUCAGUGAGGUGAAUUGGAUCAAUCAGCUGCUGAGAGACUUCCAAGUCAAUGGAACAUCUACAGCUAUGCUUUACUUUGAUAAUCAUGCUGCAAUAUAGAUUGCAGCCAAUCCUGUAUUCCACAAAUGUACAAAAACAUUGAAAUCGAUUGCCACUUUAUUCAUGACAAGAUUACAACUGGA
rnacentral:lncRNA from 1 species